rnacentral:tRNA from 1 species
GUCGGCGGACAGCGGGCCGGCUGGCUGCGGUGCCGGCUGGUGGCCGCCGAGCCCGGCCAGCCGUUCUACUCGGCGUCGCCGACG